GUGCUAGAAUCUCCGAUAGCACAUAUACUAAAACUCAAAUGAUACACAGAUUAGCAUGGCCCCUGCGCAAGGAUGACACACAAAUUCAGAGAAGCAUCCCAUAUUUUU
ensembl:snRNA U6 U6 spliceosomal RNA